rnacentral:rRNA from 1 species
UACGGAGGGUGCAAGCGUUAAUCGGAAUUACUGGGCGUAAAGCGUGCGCAGGCGGUUUGUUAAGUCCGUUGUGAAAGCCCCGAGCUCAACUUGGGAAUUGCAGUGGAUACUGGCAGGCUGGAGUACGGUAGAGGAAGGUGGAAUUCCCGGUGUAGCAGUGAAAUGCGUAGAUAUCGUGAGGAAGACCAGUGGCGAAGGCGGGUCUCUGGACAGUUCCUGACACUGAGGCACGAAGGCCAGGGGAGCAAACGGG